AUUGAACGCUGGCGGCAGGCCUAACACAUGCAAGUCGAGCGGAUGAAGAGGGCUUGCUCUCUGAUUCAGCGGCGGACGGGUGAGUAAUGCCUAGGAAUCUGCCUGGUAGUGGGGGACAACGUUUCGAAAGGAACGCUAAUACCGCAUACGUCCUACGGGAGAAAGCAGGGGACCUUUGGGCCUUGCGCUAUCAGAUGCGCCUAGGUCGGAUUAGCUAGUUGGUGGGGUAAAGGCUCACCAAGGCGACGAUCCGUAACUGGUCUGAGAGGAUGAUCAGUCACACUGGAACUGAGACACGGUCCAGACUCCUACGGGAGGCAGCAGUGGGGAAUAUUGGACAGUGGGCGAAAGCCUGAUCCGGCCAUGCCGCGUGUGUGAAGAAGGUCUUCGGAUUGUAAAGCACUUUAAGUUGGGAGGAAGGGCAGUAAGUUAAUACCUUGCUGUUUUGACGUUACCAACAGAAUAAGCACCGGCUAACUUCGUGCCAGCAGCCGCCGCCGUAA
rnacentral:rRNA from 1 species